rnacentral:rRNA from 1 species
AAGGGCACCACAAGAUCGCGUGGAAUAUGUGGCUUAAUUUGACUCAACGCGAGAAAUCUUACCGGGUCCGAACACACGUAGGAUUGACAGAUGCGUAAUAUUCACGUAAUAUGCGUAUAAUAAUUAUUUUUAUAAUUAUUACGCAUAAAAUUUGAUAGCCCUUUUAUGAUUAUGUGAUAAGUGGUGCAUGGCCGUUCUUAGUUCGUGGAGUGAUCUGUCGGCUUAAUUGCGAGAAAUACAUAUAUAGAAUAAUUAUUAUUAUGUAUAUAGAAUGCGUAAUAUUACGCUCGCAUUAUAUGCGCAGCAAUAUUAUUACGUAUAUAUACGAAAUAAUUAUCUCUAUACGCUAUUUCUGCAACGAACGAGACCGGGACCGUAAAUUUAAAAAUAUACGUAAUACGUAUAUCUCACAAUACGGGACCGCUGUUAUUAUUAAAAUUUAACCAUAGCGAAGGGCCCGGCAAUAACAGGUCUGUGAUGCCCUCAGAUGUUCCGGGCUGCACACGUAUUACAAUGAAUAUUAUAGAGCGUGUGUAUAAUGAAUUAUGCGUAUAUACGUAAUAAUUAUUUAGCCCGCUUCGAAAUUGCGUACGAGGCAAUCUAUAUAAUAAUAUUAUACACGCGUGUUACACGGCAGGGACAGAUUAUUGUACGUAAUACGCACUAAUUAUUAAUCUCGCAUUUAUAACUAGGAAUGCCUCGUACACAUAUAUUCGGUUCAAUAGACCAUAUGGAAUACGUCCCUGCCCUUUGUACACACCGCCCGUC